rnacentral:rRNA from 1 species
GAGUUUGAUCCUGGCUCAGAUUGAACGCUGGCGGCAGGCCUAACACAUGCAAGUCGAGCGGUAGAGAGAAGCUUGCUUCUCUUGAGAGCGGCGGACGGGUGAGUAAUGCCUAGGAAUCUGCCUGGUAGUGGGGGAUAACGCUCGGAAACGGACGCUAAUACCGCAUACGUCCUACGGGAGAAAGCAGGGGACCUUCGGGCCUUGCGCUAUCAGAUGAGCCUAGGUCGGAUUAGCUAGUUGGUGAGGUAAUGGCUCACCAAGGCGACGAUCCGUAACUGGUCUGAGAGGAUGAUCAGUCACACUGGAACUGAGACACGGUCCAGACUCCUACGGGAGGCCAGCAGUGGGGAAUAUUGGACAAUGGGCGAAAGCCUGAUCCAGCCAUGCCGCGUGUGUGAAAGAAGGUC